ensembl:miRNA Mir3068 microRNA mir-3068
GCGAGAGUAAUUGGAGUUCAUGCAAGUUCUAACCAGCUUAAUCAGUAGCUGGGUGAAUUGCAGUACUCCAACAUUCUGU